rnacentral:rRNA from 1 species
UGGGGAAUUUUGGACAAUGGGCGAAAGCCUGAUCCAGCAAUGCCGCGUGUGUGAAGAAGGCCUUCGGGUUGUAAAGCACUUUUGUCCGGAAAGAAAUCCUUGGCUCUAAUACAGUCGGGGGAUGACGGUACCGGAAGAAUAAGCACCGGCUAACUACGUGCCAGCAGCCGCGGUAAUACGUAGGGUGCAAGCGUUAAUCGGAAUUACUGGGCGUAAAGCGUGCGCAGGCGGUUUGCUAAGACCGAUGUGAAAUCCCCGGGCUCAACCUGGGAACUGCAUUGGUGACUGGCAGGCUAGAGUAUGGCAGAGGGGGGUAGAAUUCCACGUGUAGCAGUGAAAUGCGUAGAGAUGUGGAGGAAUACCGAUGGCGAAGGCAGCCCCCUGGGCCAAUACUGACGCUCAUGCACGAAAGCGUGGGGAGCAAACAGGAUUCAGAUACCCUGGUAGUCCAGCGCCCUAAACGAUGUCAACUAGUUGUUGGGGAUUCAUUUCCUUAGUAACGUAGCUAACGCGUGAAGUUG